rnacentral:rRNA from 1 species
CAUUAUCGAAUCUUUGAAGGAGCUGUUUGCUGGCCCUUGACGGGGCAUGUGCACGCUUCGCUCAAAUCCUCCAUUCAUACCCCUGUGCAUCGUUUGUAGGGUCGCGUCGGUCGAGAGGCCGCACGCGCUCUAUGUCUAUCAUAAACUCUUGUAUGUGUAGAAUGUUCAAUGCGUCCGACGCAUCUUUAUA